rfam:Tupaia chinensis contig190551, whole genome shotgun sequence.
AGAGCUAUGUAUAGAAAGACUCUGUUGUUUACAGAAGUAAAUCUCCCAGGGUGAGGCUCAUCCAUUGCACUCCAGGUGUGCUGACCCCCGCGAUUUCCCCAAAUGCGGGAAACUCAAGUACAUAAUUUGUGAUAGUGGGGGACUGUGUGUGCGCUUUCCCCUG